rnacentral:rRNA from 1 species
UACGGGGGGAGCAAGCGUUGUUCGGAUUUACUGGGCGUAAAGGGCGCGUAGGCGGUCAGCACAAGUCAGUUGUGAAAUCUCCGGGCUUAACUCGGAAAGGUCAACUGAUACUGUGCGACUAGAGUGCGGAAGGGGCAACUGGAAUUCUCGGUGUAGCGGUGAAAUGCGUAGAUAUCUGGAGGAACACCGGUGGCGAAGGCGGGACUCUGGGCCGAUACUGACGCUGAGGAGCGAAAGCGUGGGGAGCGACGAGGAAUUAUAUACCCC